rfam:Myotis davidii contig317863, whole genome shotgun sequence.
GUGCUUGCUUCGGCUGCACAUAUACUAAUAUUGGAAUGAAGAAGAUUAUCAUGGCCCCUGUGCAAAGAUGACACACAAAUUCGUGAGGCAUUCUAUACAAAC